rnacentral:rRNA from 1 species
CCUACGUGUGGCAGCAGUGGGGAAUAUUGCACAAUGGGGGGAACCCUGAUGCAGCAACGCCGCGUGGGUGAAGAAGUACUUCGGUAUGUAAAGCCCUUUCAGCAGGGAAGAAAAUGACGGUACCUGACAAAGAAGCCCCGGCUAACUACGUGCCAGCAGCCGCGGUAAUACGUAGGGGGCCAGCGUGAUCCGGAUUUACUGGGUGUAAAGGGAGCGUAGACGGCAAGGCAAGUCUGGAGUGAAAGGCCGUGGCUCAACCACGGGACUGCUUUGGAAACUGAGUUGCUGGAGUGCAGGAGGGGUAAGCGGAAUUCCUAGUGUAGCGGUGAAAUGCGUAGAUAUUAGGAGGAACACCGGUGGCGAAGGCGGCUUACUGGACUGUAACUGACGUUGAGGCUCGAAGGCGUGGGGAGCAAACAGGAUUAGAUACCCGAGUAGUC